rnacentral:lncRNA from 1 species
CGAGAUGACAGGUCAAAAUGUGACCGAGUGCAUCGGUGGGUCAAAGAUAGUCACAUUUGACGAUCUUAGCUCACGCUACCACACACACUGCGAUCCUAGACUUAAUGCUUCACAAUCUCUCGAGCUUGCUUUCAUCAUUGCUGAAAGGCUAAGAAAGAGUAGAAUCAGAUCACAGCCUCCUCUUGAAUCUACUGGAUUUUGAAAAAGGAUUUGAAGAAAAACUCAACACAAUACCUUUGUUCUUUUUCUUAUAUAUUUAAUGGUUGUUGUUUACACACUGAUGUGGUGGACCUGAAAC